rnacentral:rRNA from 1 species
GGCGUAGGCGGCUUUUCAAGUCGGAUGUGAAAUCUCCCGGCUUAACUGGGAGGGUGCAUUCGAUACUGGGAGGCUGGAGUGCAUCAGAGGAAAGCGGAAUUCCCGGUGUAGUGGUGAAAUGCGUAGAUAUCGGGAAGAACACUAGUGGCGAAGGCGGCUUUCUGGGGUGUAACUGACGCUGAGGCCCGAAGGCGUGGGGAGCAAACA